rnacentral:lncRNA from 1 species
UGUGGCCUCUGCUUUCCUUCCUCUUCCUGCUUUUGGUAUGAUUCUCACAGAAGAAGCACAGGCUGAAAGAUGGCACACCCAACAAAGAUUGAAGUGGCCUCAGUCCAACGUACGCUUCACCAAGGAGAGGCCGUACUCUACUGGCUGGGGUAGCUCACAGACAGCUACUGCCAUUUUUAGCUUCACAGAUGACACCACAAAUAGAAACACUGGAAGACUGUCUUCUCUUAUUGUGUUAGCUAAGCUAUGAGUGUCCCACAGAUUAAUCAUAGAAUCAUAGAACGGCCUGAGUUGAAAAGGACCCCAAAGAUCAUCUAGUUUCAACCCCCCAGCUAUGUGCAGGGUUGCCAACCAGUAGUCCAGGCUGCCCAGAGUCACAUCCAGGCUGGCUUUGAAUGCCUCCAGGGAUGGAGAAUCCACAACCUCCUUGGGCAACCUGUUCCAGUGCGUCACCACCCUCUGAGUAAAAAACUUCCUCCUAAUAUCUAAACUAAAUCUCCCCUGUCUUAGUUUAAAACCAUUCCCCCUCGUCCUGUCACUAUCUACCCUCAUAAACAGUCAUAUCCCCUCUUGUUUAUACAUUCCCUUUAAAUAUUGGAAAGCCACAAGGAGUUCUCCCUGGAGCCUUCUCCAAGCUAAACAAGCCCAGUUCCCU